rnacentral:lncRNA from 1 species
AUGGCAGAUCAUAGAUAAAUCAUUAAAUCUCAUUAUCAGUCAUAUGAUAGAUGUGAUUAGCUCAUGUUGAAUAGUAAUUUUCAAUAAAAAAAAUUUUUCAUUAAUCACUCUGCUUGACCAUAGACUUAUGGACUCAGCUUUUCAAAUCUCAUAGAACUAUUCCUCUCUAUCAAGAUUGAUAGAUCCCAUAUAGAUGUAUAUGUUGCUCAU